UGGGGGGGAGGGGUGCAGUAGAGAAGGAAGAAGAAAAAGAAAGAAAGAAGGGAAGGGGACCCUUUAACAAUAAGUCAUCUUCACAGUAUCUAAUAAAUGUCCCCUGGGCUCUGGGAGCUGGAGACGCCAUUUCCAUCCUCAGAAACUGAUCCCUGGUAAGGGAAACACAUCUGAGAUGUAAAACGGGAAGAGUGGAGGCGUGUCCACGGCUGUCACUGGGCCUUCUUCUGAGCUGCUAUGCUCCCAGGAUCUCCGUUCCCAGGACAGUGGAUCUUAAACUUUAGUAAAUAAAAUCGAUUCAGUGGCGCUAAUGGUUUUGGGGAGCUGGUAGGACAAGGCUGCGAGUUUUUGAGGUGGAGCCACAGUUCUUUGCUUUGUUCAGCUUUCUGAGAGUGUCCAAGGAUGUGAGCAAGCCACCUUCCCGCUGCAACAGACA
rnacentral:lncRNA from 1 species